AUUGAACGCUGGCGGCGUGCUUAACACAUGCAAGUCGAACGUGAAAGUCCUUCGGGGCGAGUAAAGUGGCGCACGGGUGAGUAACGCGUGGAUAAUCUACCCUUAAGAUGGGGAUAACGGCUGGAAACGGUCGCUAAUACCGAAUACGCUCCCGAUUUUAUCGUUGGGGGGAAAGAUGGCCUCUGCUUGCAAGCUAUCGCUUAAGGAUGAGUCCGCGUCCCAUUAGCUAGUUGGCGGGGUAACGGCCCACCAAGGCGACGAUGGGUAGCCGGUCUGAGAGGAUGACCGGCCACACUGGAACUGGAACACGGUCCAGACUCCUACGGGAGGCAGCAGUGGGGAAUAUUGCGCAAUGGGCGAAAGCCUGACGCAGCGACGCCGCGUGAGGGAUGAAGGUUCUCGGAUCGUAAACCUCUGUCAGGGGGGAAGAAACCCCCUCGUGUGAAUAAUGCGAGGGCUUGACGGUACCCCCAAAGGAAGCACCGGCUAACUCCGUGCCAGCAGCCGCGGUAAUACGGAGGGUGCAAGCGUUAAUCGGAAUCACUGGGCGUAAAGCGCACGUAGGCGGCUUGGUAAGUCAGGGGUGAAAUCCCACAGCCCAACUGUGGAACUGCCUUUGAUACUGCCAGGCUUGAGUACCGGAGAGGGUGGCGGAAUUCCAGGUGUAGGAGUGAAAUCCGUAGAUAUCUGGAGGAACACCGGUGGCGANNCGGCCACCUGGACGGUAACUGACGCUGANGUGCGAAAGCGUGGGUAGCAAACAGGAUUAGAUACCCUGGUAGUCCACGCUGUAAACGAUGGGUGCUGGGUGCUGGGAUGUAUGUCUCGGUGCCGUANCUAACGCGAUAAGCACCCCGCCNGGGGNNUACGGUCGCAAGGCUGAAACUCNNNAAAUUGANGGGGGCCCGCACNAGCGGUGAGUUAUGUGGUUUAAUUCGAUGCACGCGAGAACCCUUACCCAGGCUUGACAUCUAGGGAACCUUCGGAAAUGGAACGGGUGCCUUUCGGGGAGCCUAGACAGGUGCUGCAUGCUGUCGUCA
rnacentral:rRNA from 1 species